CCUACGGGUGGCAGCAGUGAGGAAUAUUGGUCAAUGGGCGCGAGCCUGAACCAGCCAAGUCGCGUGAGGGAUGAAGGUUCUAUGGAUCGUAAACCUCUUUUAUAAGGGCAUAAAGUGUGGGACGUGUCCUAUUUUGUAUGUACCUUAUGAAUCAGGAGCGUCUAACUCCGUGCCAGCAGCCGCGGUAAUACGGAGGAUCCGAGCGUUAUCCGGAUUUAUUGGGUUUAAAGGGUGCGUAGGCGGCCUGUUAAGUCAGCGGUGAAAGUCUGUGGCUCAACCAUAGAAUGGCCGUUGAAACUGGGGGGCUUGAGUAUGUUUAAGGCAGGCGGAAUGCGUGGUGUAGCGGUGAAAUGCUUAGAUAUCACGAAGAACCCCGAUUGCGAAGGCAGCCUGCCAAGCCAUGACUGACGCUGAUGCACGAAAGCGUGGGGAUCAAACAGGAUUAGAUACCCUUGUAGUC
rnacentral:rRNA from 1 species